rnacentral:rRNA from 1 species
CCUACGGGUGGCUGCAGUGGGGAAUAUUGGACAAUGGGGGGAACCCUGAUCCAGCCAUGCCGCGUGUGUGAAGAAGGCCCUCGGGUUGUAAAGCACUUUCAGUGAGGAAGAACGCCUGGUGGUUAAUACCCAUCAGGAAAGACAUCACUCACAGAAGAAGCACCGGCUAACUCCGAGCCAGCAGCCGCGGUAAUACGGAGGGUGCGAGCGUUAAUCGGAAUUACUGGGCGUAAAGCGCGCGUAGGUGGCUUGAUAAGCCGGUUGUGAAAGCCCCGGGCUCAACCUGGGAACGGCAUCCGGAACUGUCAAGCUAGAGUGCAGGAGAGGAAGGUAGAAUUCCCGGUGUAGCGGUGAAAUGCGUAGAGAUCGGGAGGAAUACCAGUGGCGAAGGCGGCCUUCUGGACUGACACUGACACUGAGGUGCGAAAGCGUGGGUAGCAAACAGGAUUAGAUACCCUGGUAGUC